ensembl:lncRNA
GCUGUGGGUUGUUGGGAACAGGCAGUCUGUCAGAAACAGUCAGCUAUGGAUCACCAAAGAAAUGGGGGUGCAUGAGGCUUCUGCUGAGCAUCUGGCAGAUUAGAUCCGAUCCCUGGUUGUGCAAGGGCUUACACCUGCACAAACCUGAGAAUUGUGAUGUGAUUUCAUCUCCUAAAUGCCUCAAGUUCAGGUCUUUUCUUAUUUCUGUUUCAUUGUGUCUCCAGGAAAAGGAACCUAUAUAGCAAAGCUGGCCUGGCUGUGGGAUGUUGGUAAGGCAUAUUGACCUUAAUGCUCCAUACAGCAGUGAUGGGAUCACAGCCAGCCACCAUGGGGGGAGGUGCACAGCUUUUCUGAGCAAAGAAAAUGCCUCCAAGGCAUGGCAGCUGUGAAGGGC